GUAAUCGUGACCCAAGCAGUGGCAGAAGUGGACGAGCAUACAGAGAAACCUGGCUGCACCACAUACAGGUUUGACUACAACAACUGGAUCGCUAAAGACGAAGGGGACCAUUCACUUGUCAAGAGCAUAAAAGUCGCAUCGACAGAUGUCAAACCAGCUUAAAGCAAUACGCAUGCACAAAUUGCCUUCACGGGAAGAUUUGGAUUUAAAAUUAAAAGGAAAUCUAAAAUAUUAAUCUAUGAUUUUAAAGUAUGUUCUUUUUAAAAUUCAUUUUUAGUGAAGGUAUUAGAAAUACUACUUUGAAAAGAUAACAUUUAGUUUUGGUAUUUAAAAUUACAAUGAAAUAAAGUAAUAUCAAUUAUUUUAA